AUGGACUGGACCUGGAGGAUCCUCUUUUUGGUGGCAGCAGCCACAGGUGCCCACUCCCAGGUCCAGCUUGUGCAGUCUGGGGCUGAGGUGAAGAAGCCUGGGGCCUCAGUGAAGGUUUCCUGCAAGGCUUCUGGAUACACCUUCACUAGCUAUGCUAUGCAUUGGGUGCGCCAGGCCCCCGGACAAAGGCUUGAGUGGAUGGGAUGGAUCAACGCUGGCAAUGGUAACACAAAAUAUUCACAGAAGUUCCAGGGCAGAGUCACCAUUACCAGGGACACAUCCGCGAGCACAGCCUACAUGGAGCUGAGCAGCCUGAGAUCUGAAGACACGGCUGUGUAUUACUGUGCGAGAGA